AAUAAGUGCAGUUUUAUACUAUUUAUCUCUAACGAUUGACAGUUCGUCUUAUUUGAAAAAUUUUUAUGAUUGAUAUUUUUAUUGCUAUUAGAUGACAAAAUAUGAAUGGUACUUUAUGUGUGACUAAAUUUUUUAAAAUUUUUCAUAAAUUUUUUAAAUAAGACGAACGGUCAAAAGUUGGACACGGAUUUCUACGGCUGCACUCAAU
rfam:Oryza barthii chromosome 3, whole genome shotgun sequence.